UGCGUAGGCGGCUUUUUAAGUCGGAUGUGAAAUCCCUGAGCUUAACUUAGGAAUUGCAUUCGAUACUGGAGAGCUAGAGUAUGGGAGAGGAUGGUAGAAUUCCAGGUGUAGCGGUGAAAUGCGUAGAGAUCUGGAGGAAUACCGAUGGCGAAGGCAGCCAUCUGGCCUAAUACUGACGCUGAGGUACGAAAGCGUGGGGAUCGAACAGGAUUAGAUACCCCUGUA
rnacentral:rRNA from 1 species